UGCUGGGAGCUGCAGUGUGGGAUCUGUGCUGGGAAGGUCACUGCAGUGCUGUGGGAUCUGCUGGGCUGGCUCUGGCACGGGUCAGGCCAUAAGGGAAGGGACUGGCCCACGCUCAGGGUUUUCCAGAUGCUGCCCUUGGCAGGCAAGGGGAGCUGGGAGAGAGAGUUAAGCUCAGAGUGCUGAGGGUUCCUUUGACAUGUGCAGCAUCUCUCCCUCAGGUUAUGCCUGCCGGAACAUCUCCGCCUCCGCCGCCCUGCAGGCCAGGACCCACGUGAGCUGUGACAUCAAAGGGGACGUCGCCGUCGUGCGGUUCAACACCCCCAAUUCCAAGGUACUGGGAAUUCCCACUGCAGGCUGAGAACUUCCCUGACCUGCAGCCUGACGAAGCUGGGAGAGGAGGAGGAACAGGGAGAGGAGGUUCUGGGUGUCUGG